GCUUAUUUUCAAGUGGCUGUUGCGUUGCUGCUUUCCCCCACCCCUUCAGUGCGACAGCCUCAGAGCUGGUGGAGAGACAGAGAGCACGCAACUGGAUAAAUUCAGAUGUGGAAUUCCUGGAUCAAAUGGUACUCGAAGAGUUAAAGAUGUCUGGAGUCAGUGCCUGGAAUUUUCUAGAAUGGUAUCAGAGGAAAAAGUAAGAAAUGUAUGAAGAGCAGAAAUAACAAUGUUUGUCAGCUUGUUGCUGGCAGUAGUAUGCUCUAGUAUUCAAAGGAUGGAGGAUGGAAGGCUCAAGACAUAAAACAUGGAGCCUUUUAGUAGAAGAUAUUAAGGGAGACUUGCCUGGAACAGACUUGCGCCUGCGUGUCCAACUAUCCCUCUAAUGCCUACAGCUGUCCAGAGAGCAUGCAUUUCUCCUGCAGCAUGUGGACUCCUCCCUAGCCUCCAGUCAUGUCCCCAGGUGCCUCCAUAAGAACCAGUGGAGGAAGACUUGCCCUAUAGCACAGGGACACUGUCCAGUUCACUAGACUCUCCCAGAGUCUCACACAUGCUCUCAACACAGAGACCUGGCUAAGAGGUGCUGACCUGCCCACAUAACAGACUUCUGACACCAUUAAGACUCUACCCAUGACACACAGACAAUCCCAACACCAGAGACUGGCUCCACAUCACAUAGACCCUGCCCAGGACACACAGACUCAACUCAUAGAACACAGAUUCUCCCUGCAGCACACAGACUCUCCUCAUGGUACAUCAUGCUCCUAUGCAUGCCCCAUUGACUGAACCUAAGCUCAUAGAUGUCUUAUAGCACUCAGACUCCCCUCACGUCAUAUCUACCCUCUCAAGGCCACACAGCAUAUAGACUCUCCUCACCUCUUGGAAGCUCACCACAGAAGAGGAUGCUGCCCACAGCACACAGAAUCACUCUAGACCACACAAUCUCCACAGAAUGUAGACUUUCCCUCCAAACACAAUCUCAUGACACAGCUCAAAAAGCCACCCCAUGCCACUAAAGACUCCCAUGAGACACAAGACUCACUGCAUGACACACAAACAAGUACCACAGAACACACACUACCCCCAAGAGGACACAGAAUCAUCCCAUACUAAGCAGACUCUCCCUUGGUUAUGAAUGCUUACCCCAUGAAACACAGACUCAACCCAUGUUACAGAGACACUACCCACAGCACUCAGGCAGGCUUUUCCCGCCAUGCGCAGAUGCCACAGUACACCCUGCGGCAUGUAUGUCACGCCUGGAUGCACAGCAUUGCACCACAGCACAAAAACUUGUCCUCCAGUGCACCAUUCAUUUCCCAACAGACAUGCCAACCACACAGUGCACACACUUGCCUUAUAGGCACACAUCUGCCCUACAACAUCUGGGCCUCCCUCCACAGCCACAGUUACCACAAGACACACAUUGUAGCUCUGUGCCACCAAAAUGCAGCCCAGUUCCUCAGAUACAUCACAGCAUGCAAACUGGCACUACAGUGGACAGACUUGUACCACAGCAGACAUUCGUGCCUCAGCACCUCACCUUUCUCUAAAGCAUUCAGGACGCCAUCACAUGUGUGACCCACGGUACCCUCACUCAGCCCACACCGUAGAUGUAAAAGCCUACGACAUGCAGGCACCUCCCUCAGCAAGAAACCUCACCCCCUCAACACUUAGAAUUAUGUCACAGCACAUAUCUGCUGUACAGCUUCAUGUCACAAAGCCAUAUUUCUUAUAGUAGAUACACAGAACAUAUGCCCCCAAACACAUGAAACCAUUUGCCAGGUGACCCAGAUUUACCACAGAGCACCCAGACUGGUUUCACUGCUCACACUAAGGCCUACACAAACAAGAUGUGCCCCACCAUGCUCCACAGUUCUCCCAUCAAUGUACAUACUUGCCUCCCCACUCAUAUGGAUGCUGCUGAAUAUCGGGACUCACCCUAAGUGUACAGACAAGCCCUUUGAGACAGAAUUACCCCAUUCCGUACACAGAUCAUACACACAACACUUAGACAUGCCUUCAAGCUCCCAAGCAUGCCUAUAAACACAUAAGUUUGUUUCAUCACACAUAGAAUCACUCCAGAGUACAAAACCUACAAUAUAGAGAAGCAUUUCCCACUGUGUAGACAUGCAGCACACACAUCAUCCCUCCUUUGCAGAGAUUUCUGUCCUAAUGCACACACAUGCUUUGGUUACCAUACUAUUGGCCUACAACAGAGAUACAGCUUGUGUAAUGGUUAAGAGCAAGGCCCGUGGACCCAGACCACCUGGGUUUGAAUGCAGAUCCCCAUUCUUGCUAAUUGUGUCACCAUGGCCAAAGGACAGUAGAGUGGGGAAGGCAGAAGCAACUUUGGAGCCCUUUUAACAAACAAGCCUGAUGAAGCAGGAGGCGGCACGUAGGCCCUACUUCCAGCCAGAGAAGCUGGAAGAUUGAGAGUGGGAGAGAGAGGGCUUCGUGCCAAGUGCACACUUGCCACCUAGUGACCAUAUUGAGGGAGAAGAAUCUGGACCAUCUGCCAUGCCGUUCAGACCUGCUCCACACACACAGUACCGCACACAGGAUAGCUGGAUCGAGGGGUUAGACUCUGAUGGCUCUAGACUCUGAUGGCGACGUGGUGACCCAUGUGCUGGGGAUGAAACUGGAGCAGAAGACUGAGCUCACUUCUCUGCAAACCGAUUCCCAUUUUCUCUUUCCUUUCCCAAUUGCUACUGCCGUGACCAGAACUUUCACUGGUGCAUUAUCAUCCUUACCCUGAGGUCAGAGAGAAAUAGAAAUCAUUGUCCAGUAACCAGUAUUGCUAAUGUAGAAUGUGAAAAAUAGCAUUGACAUUUACUUCAGUGAACAAACCAGUUGUCCCAGCUUUCACAAUAUUCUCUUCUCUGCUCCCUCCCCGCACCCCUUUUUUUCCCUAAAAUGUCUUAAAUUUCUUCAGCACAGAUAGUGUGGGGGUUUCAGGAACUCAACCAUAGGGAGGGGACUGCAAUAUCUGAUUUGACAAUUUGAUUUUGUGCUCCUGAUCCUGAAAGUUGUUUCACUUCUGAUUAAGCCUAACUUGCUUUUUUACCAGAAGGGACUAGUCUGCUCUAAGUUAAUUUGUUUCGCAGUGAUUCUAUAACUUAGCUAUUGGCUGGUCUUGAAAGGCAGUACAUUUGUGCAGAAUUCCUGGAUUUACCUUGUUACCUAACUAAGGAGGAAGACCUGUUAUACUUCAUUUCUGUGGUUCCUCUCUGUUCUCAAAUCUGGCCUCCUAGUAAUUUGAACAGUAGAAUAUCCCGCUAAAAGGAGAUUCUGAUACUUCCUGUGCUGGAGAAUUCAUUUCCAGAUUGAACAUUUUUUUAUUCCCACUGUAUCCCUUAUGUUUACUUUAUUCAACUCAAUUGUUUUUAUAGAAGUCAUUGUUUCAAUUUUGGAAUUCUCCAGGCAGAUUUAACAGAGGGGAAAAAUAAAGUCAGAAAGCCAGAGAGAUGAAGCUAAUAUAGUAUUCUAAGAAUUCUUAGCAAAGACAUUAGGAACCUACUGUUCUCUUGGCUACUUGUACACAGUCUCAUUGGAUGUCUAUUUUGAACUCAGUUGGACAGUUGCUCUGGGAGCCAGAGAGAUAGGAAGUCUAAAUAGCAUUGUUUUUUCCUCUCUCUUAACUGCUGCUUGGGCCAGCAUUGCUAUACUGGCACCAUAAUUAUAUGUCAUGAUGAAGAGCAAACAUCCUGCAUAGGGAAAGGAGGAAAAAUAACUCUUCAGCAUGUAGUUGCCAAAAAGGAACUUAUAUAGCUAAAAACCAUAAAGACAACCUGGAAUGAUGAGAUUUGGGUGCAGUAGUCAAAUAAAUGCUACCUUUGAGUAACAGCAUGAAAAAUGACAGCACAGAGUAAAUUGAAUUUGCUCUUAGAGGAAACAUAGAAGGAACCUACAUGAGUUGUGAUUAGGAAUGGGGGAAUCCAGUAAUUUUCUCCCCAGUCUGUAAGUCUGAAUGAUAGGCUCCCCAUAACUGAGUCUGAAGUGAUCAGGAAAAAGGGCAGAAGAUGAAGGCUGCAAGGACAUGCCUGCAUAGUUACUUGAGAUGACAGAUAUUCUUGAGAGAAAAGUUUAUCAGCCUCAUUGGUUGACCUUGGGAGUACAUUAAGCCCUUUCUUAGAGACCAAGAGACGGGGUCUCGCUCAG